rnacentral:rRNA from 1 species
AGUGAACGCUGGCGGUAGGCCUAACACAUGCAAGUCGAACGGCAGCACAGUAAGAGCUUGCUCUUACGGGUGGCGAGUGGCGGACGGGUGAGGAAUACAUCGGAAUCUACUUUUUCGUGGGGGAUAACGUAGGGAAACUUACGCUAAUACCGCAUACGACCUACGGGUGAAAGCAGGGGAUCUUCGGACCUUGCGCGAUUGAAUGAGCCGAUGUCGGAUUAGCUAGUUGGCGGGGUAAAGGCCCACCAAGGCGACGAUCCGUAGCUGGUCUGAGAGGAUGAUCAGCCACACGGGAACUGAGACACGGUCCAGCCUCCUACGGGAGGCAGCAGUGGGGAAUAUUGGACAAUGGGCGCAAGCCUGAUCCAGCCAUACCGCGUGGGUGAAGAAGGCCUUCGGGUUGUAAAGCCCUUUUGUUGGGAAAGAAAAGCAGCAGGUUAAUACCCCGCUGUUCUGACGGUACCCAAAGAAUAAGCACCGGCUAACUGCGU